rnacentral:sRNA from 1 species
CUUGGUCAUUUAGAGGAAGUAAAAGUCGUAACAAGGUCUCCGUUGGUGAACCAGCGGAGGGAUCAUUACCGAGUUUACAACUCCCAAACCCAUGUGAACAUACCUACUGUUGCUUCGGCGGGAUUGCCCCGGGCGCCUCGUGUGCCCCGGAUCAGGCGCCCGCCUAGGAAACUUAAUUCUUGUUUUAUUUUGGAAUCUUCUGAGUAGUUUUUACAAAUAAAUAAAAACUUUCAACAACGGAUCUCUUGGUUCUGGCAUCGAUGAAGAACGCAGCGGAAUGCGAUAAGUAAUGUGAAUUGCAGAAUUCAGUGAAUCAUCGAAUCUUUGAACGCACAUUGCGCCCGCCAGUAUUCUGGCGGGCAUGCCUGUCUGAGCGUCAUUUCAACCCUCAUGCCCCUAGGGCGUGGUGUUGGGGAUCGGCCAAAGCCCGCGAGGGACGGCCGGCCCCUAAAUCUAGUGGCGGACCCGUCGUGGCCUCCUCUGCGAAGUAGUGAUAUUCCGCAUCGGAGAGCGACGAGCCCCUGCCGUUAAACCCCCAACUUUCCAAGGUUGACCUCAGAUCAGGUAGGAAUACCCGCUGAACUUAAGCAUAUCAAUAAGCGGAGGAAAAGAGACCAACAGGGAUUGCCCUAGUAACGGCGAGUGAAGCGGCAACAGCUCAAAUUUGAAAUCUGGCGCAAGCCCGAGUUGUAAUUUGUAGAGGAUGUUUCUGGCGACGUGCCUUCCGAGUUCCCUGGAACGGGACGCCAUAGAGGGUGAGAGCCCCGUACGGUUGGAUGCCUAGCCUCUGUGAAACUCCUUCGACGAGUCGAGUUGUUUGGGAAU